UAACUGCCGACGAAUACAACCCCUUCGCGCUGCCCAUCGCCGCUUAGGCGCUGAGUAGCGUAGCCAGCCUUGCGAGGCUGGCCGUUCGCCCCGCCCGUCUUCACCCGGACGGUCCGGCGGGCGUCACCAAAGGUGAAGUGCGUCCCCGUUGACGCCGAUAAGGCGGGGGCAAAGAGAAAUCGGCUGGUCUGCGCAAGACCGGGUUGGCCAGGGAACGCGCGGACGAGAAACAAGAGCCAACUAUGCCUGUAGAAGCACAGGGUUGAAUCUUCUGGACAGCGGUUCGAUUCCGCUCACCUCCACUC
rnacentral:tmRNA from 1 species